rnacentral:lncRNA from 1 species
UCUGUGUACAUACGUUGUUAAUCAUUUUAAUAACGUGUUAUAGUAUCUUUUAUUUGUCUUUUUGAAUGUUACUUUUACUGUUUAGUCUAUUUUUAGUGAUAUUCAUUUGACGUGGAUCUGUUCCUCCCCUCAUUGGGUGAUUGUGCUAUGAUAAAUUUUUGUAUUCUUGUUUUUCUAUUUUGCUGAUGUGCUUUGUCUAUAUGCAUUUUUGUGUUUGUUUCUUAUAUAUAACGUGGUUCUGUACUUACACAUCCCGUCUUGUAUUAUUGUAAAAUGUUGUAUUAUUUUCUUCCAUUUCCUUAUGUUCUAGAGCUUUCGUCUAUAUGCCUUUUUGGGUUUCUUUGGGACAUAUGACGUGGCUCUGUUCUUAAUCAUCCCGUCAUUGUGAUAUGGUAAAAUUGUGUAUACUUUUCUUUCAUUUUCCUAAUGUUCUUUCGUCUAUAUUCCCUUUUAUGUUUCUUUGUUGACUGCUGUACCCUAAUUUUCAACAUUUUUACCUGUUGUGUCGGUUUGUUUUGUUCACACAUUGUUGUCAAUACAAUUGAAUUUUAUGCGACUGUCAUACAAAUGAGUUGUAUAGCUAGCAAUAAAACCAGAUUUAAUCCACCCAUUCCUACAUAAGAAAAUGCCUGUACCAAAUCAGGAAUAGGACAGUUGUUAUCCAAUCGUUUGAUGUGUUUGAGCCUUUGCUUUUUGUUUUUUGAUUGGAGACUUUCCGUUUUGAAUUUUCUCGGCGGUCGGUAUUUUUUUUUUUACUUUAAACUAUAUCAUUAUAUUCAAUACUAGAAUAAAUUACAUAACCCGAAAAUUUUGAGUGUUGACAAGUAAACAGAAACCGCAGAUUAUCACACUAGAGCAUUUCAAGUUAACUUCUAACAGCCGAGGAUUAUGCCAGACAAUGGGCUAAGCGCGAGAAGGAAGACGUAGACACUCUUUCAGAAUGGAUUAAGGCAGUGAGGUCGUUGAUACAAAUCAGAAUUAAGAAACUGAAUGGGUCUAUCAUUGCCUAUGCUACGUCAAUCUGUAAAAGACCAAAUGUUGCAAACACUUAUCCUACCUCCAUGACAAAUAUAUUGUUGUCCCCGCAGAUAAAGCCCCAAACAACAUCGUUUUUGUGCGUAAAACUCAUUACAUUAACUGCUUGAUAAACAAUUAAGGUAUUGACAAUUCACUUGGAAACUCAACAUAUACCCUCACGACACUUACCAAAGAGGAAAUUCUGGAUAAUCAUAGGUCUGUUCUAAGUUCCUUUGGAAUUUCAACUAAAGAUGAGGAAC